ensembl:lncRNA
UAGGAAUUUGUGGUUUUGAGUGGUUUAUUCCUGUUAAUGGGGAAAGGACAUGGUUAGGAAGCUACCAUCGAUCGCCAUGACAAUUCUCUCAGGUUGUUCACUCAGUAGCCUAAUGUCUGUAUGUAAACUGGUCUUAACCAGAAGGACAUAGAGCUGUGUUUUUUGUCUUUUAGAAUACAUAUUUUUUUUAUAUUGUUAUGAAGGAGGAUUUCAUUAAACAAGAAUAGUCUAGGGACGUUUAAAAAAUAAUAAUUCAAACACAUAGCCAGUGGCCAAGAUGCUACAUUUCAGUGGCCAAGAUGCUACAUUUCAGUGGCCAAGAUGCUACAUUCCAGUGGCCAAGAUGCUACAUUCCAGUGGCCAAGAUGCUACAUUCCAGUGGCCAAGAUGCUACAUUCCAGUGGCCAAGAUGCUACAUUCCAGUGGCCAAGAUGCUACAUUCCAGUGGCCAAGAUGCUACAUUCCAGUGGCCAAGAUGCUACAUUCCAGUGGCCAAGAUGCUACAUUCCAGUGGCCAAGAUGCUACAUUCCAGUGGCCAAGAUGCUACAUUUCAGUGGCCAAGAUGCUACAUUCCAGUGGCCAAGAUGCUACAUUCCAGUGGCCAAGAUGCUACAUUCCAGUGGCCAAGAUGCUACAUUCCAGUGGCCAAGAUGCUACAUUCCAGUGGCCAAGAUGCUACAUUCCAGUGGCCAAGAUGCUACAUUCCAGUGGCCAAGAUGCUACAUUUCAGUGGCCAAGAUGCUACAUUCCAGUGGCCAAGAUGCUACAUUCCAGUGGCCAAGAUGCUACAUUCCAGUGGCCAAGAUGCUACAUUCCAGUGGCCAAGAUGCUACAUUUCAGUGGCCAAGAUGCUACAUUUCAGUGGCCAAGAUGCUACAUUUCAGUGGCCAAGAUGCUAUAUUCCAGUGGCCAAGAUGCUACAUUCCAGUGGCCAAGAUGCUACAUUCCAGUGGCCAAGAUGCUACAUUUCAGUGGCCAAGAUGCUACAUUCCAGUGGCCAAGAUGCUACAUUCCAGUGGCCAAGAUGCUACAUUCCAGUGGCCAAGAUGCUACAUUCCAGUGGCCAAGAUGCUACAUUCCAGUGGCCAAGAUGCUACAUUCCAGUGGCCAAGAUGCUACAUUCCAGUGGCCAAGAUGCUACAUUCCAGUGGCCAAGAUGCUACAUUCCAGUGGCCAAGAUGCUACAUUCCAGUGGCCAAGAUGCUACAUUCCAGUGGCCAAGAUGCUACAUUCCAGUGGCCAAGAUGCUACAUUCCAGUGGCCAAGAUGCUACAUUUCAGUGGCCAAGAUGCUACAUUCCAGUGGCCAAGAUGCUACAUUCCAGUGGCCAAGAUGCUAUAUUCCAGUGGCCAAGAUGCUACAUUCCAGUGGCCAAGAUGCUACAUUCCAGUGGCCAAGAUGCUACAGUGGCCAAGAUGCUACAUUCCACAUUUCAGUGGCCAAGAUGCUACAUUCCAGUGGCCAAGAUGCUAUAUUCCAGUGGCCAAGAUGCUACAUUCCAGUGGCCAAGAUGCUACAUUCCAGUGGCCAAGAUGCUACAUUCCAGUGGCCAAGAUGCUACAUUCCAGUGGCCAAGAUGCUACAUUCCAGUGGCCAAGAUGCUACAUUCCAGUGGCCAAGAUGCUACAUUCCAGUGGCCAAGAUGCUACAUUCCAGUGGCCAAGAUGCUACAUUCCAGUGGCCAAGAUGCUACAUUCCAGUGGCCAAGAUGCUACAUUCCAGCAGGUUCCUGCUCCUUUAGAAAACAAGAGAAUCUCCUCACAGGUCAUCUGUUACCAUGCUCCUCACAGGUCAUCUGUUACCAUGCUCCUCACAGGUCAUCUGUUACCAUGCUCCUCACAGGUCAUCUGUUACCAUGCUCCUCACAGGUCAUCUGUUACCAUGCUCCUCACAGGUCAUCUGUUACCAUGCCCUUCACAGGUCAUCUGUUACCAUGCUCUUCACAGGUCAUCUGUUACCAUGCUCCUCACAGGUCAUCUGUUACCAUGCUCUUCACAGGUCAUCUGUUACCAUGCCCUUCACAGGUCAUCUGUUACCAUGCCCUUCACAGGUCAUCUGUUACCAUGCCCUUCACAGGUCAUCUGUUACCAUGCUCCUCACAGGUCAUCUGUUACCAUGCUCUUCACAGGUCAUCUGUUACCAUGCCCUUCACAGGUCAUCUGUUACCAUGCUCCUCACAGGUCAUCUGUUACCAUGCUCCUCACAGGUCAUCUGUUACCAUGCCCUUCACAGGUCAUCUGUUACCAUGCUCCUCACAGGUCAUCUGUUACCAUGCUCCUCACAGGUCAUCUGUUACCAUGCUCCUCACAGGUCAUCUGUUACCAUGCUCUUCACAGGUCAUCUGUUACCAUGCUCUUCACAGGUCAUCUGUUACCAUGCUCUUCACAGGUCAUCUGUUACCAUGCUCUUCACAGGUCAUCCGUUACCAUGCUCCAUCUGGACAUUACAGGAGAGUCAUAUUCACUGGGAACAAAAUGGAAGCAAGUGAGCCAGAACUGCAAGGGUCUAUCUGAACUUGUCCAGUGUAGAAACGUUUUUAAUUUUUUUCCCAAUUGCGAAACGUUUUGCUACAGUGUGCACGAAUGAAUAUGAUCCUGGUAAACCGAGAGGGUGUUUGGGGUCUGCCUCUCUCUUUCUCCGUGUUCACACAGGCUUCUUCUUCUUCUUGUGACUCCGGCUCAGCUAGGAGAGCUGGACGUUCUGGAUGGGGGACUGGCUUUAAAGUUGCACUAUGCAGAAAUUGCUCCCAUCACUUCCUGGUUGUUAAAUUCUAAUAGUUUUGCAUUAUUUCAGGUUGUGACAAAACGAGCAAGUGUGUAAGUGUAGAGAAUCAUUGUGCUUCUCUUAACAGCUCUAAAAUAUAUUUUCCAUAACUAAAAAGAUGUUGUAUUUUCAGCUUUUUGUGAAGCUGGUGUACAAAACGG